rnacentral:snoRNA from 1 species
CCGACGUGGACAUCCAGCGAGUGUCUCUCCUGGCUCUGUCCUGGUGGCGUAUGGGAGCGUAGCCUCGCGCUAAGACGUACAUUCCCGUUCCACGAUGUCGCACAAAAAGUUGCGUCCCCGACUCUGUGGUCGGCAAGGAUGAACGUCCUGUAUAUUCCUACAACUUCCCAGAGUCCUUUGGGGCCGUGACUGGGGAGCCAAACCAUGCAGUGCACAUUU